rnacentral:rRNA from 1 species
AUUUGCUUAAAAGGUGCAAUUGCAUCACUACCGGAUGGACCUGCGUUGUAUUAGCUAGUUGGUGGGGUAACGGCUCACCAAGGCGACGAUACAUAGCCGACCUGAGAGGGUGAUCGGCCACACUGGGACUGAGACACGGCCCAGACUCCUACGGGAGGCAGCAGUAGGGAAUCUUCGGCAAUGGACGGAAGUCUGACCGAGCAACGCCGCGUGAGUGAAGAAGGUUUUCGGAUCGUAAAGCUCUGUUGUAAGAGAAGAACGAGUGUGAGAGUGGAAAGUUCACACUGUGACGGUAUCUUACCAGAAAGGGACGGCUAACUACGUGCCAGCAGCCGCGGUAAUACGUAGGUCCCGAGCGUUGUCCGGAUUUAUUGGGCGUAAAGCGAGCGCAGGCGGUUAGAUAAGUCUGAAGUUAAAGGCUGUGGCUUAACCAUAGUACGCUUUGGAAACUGUUUAACUUGAGUGCAAGAGGGGAGAGUGGAAUUCCAUGUGUAGCGGUGAAAUGCGUAGAUAUAUGGAG